rnacentral:rRNA from 1 species
CGUACACUCCUGCGGGGAGGAAGGCGAUAAGGUUAAUAACCUUGUUGAUUGACGUUACCCGCAGAAGAAGCACCGGCUAACUCCGUGCCAGCAGCCGCGGUAAUACGGAGGGUGCAAGCGUUAAUCGGAAUUACUGGGCGUAAAGCGCACGCAGGCGGUCUGUCAAGUCGGAUGUGAAAUCCCCGGGCUCAACCUGGGAACUGCAUUCGAAACUGGCAGGCUAGAGUCUUGUAGAGGGGGGUAGAAUUCCAGGUGUAGCGGUGAAAUGCGUAGAGAUCUGGAGGAAUACCGGUGGCGAAGGCGGCCCCCUGGACAAAGACUGACGCUCAGGUGCGAAAGCGUGGGGAGCAAACAGGAUUAGAUACCCCAGUAGUCCC